GGCUGCUGCCAUGAGGUGACUUCUGCCCAGUGCUCUGGUUGUCAAUGCCAAGAGAUUGAGCCAAGCGCGGGUAAACGGCGGGAGUAACUAUGACUCUCUUAAGGUAGCCAAAUGCCUCGUCAACCAAUUAUUGACGCGCAUGAAUGGAUCAACGAGAUUCCUGCUGUCCCUAGUUGCUAUCUGGUGAACCAACAGCCAAGGGAACGGGCUUGGAUGUGUCAGCGGGGAAAGAAGACCCUGUUGAGUUUGACUCUAGCUUGCUGCUGUGCAACGACAUGUGGGGUGUAGCACAGGUGGGAGGCCAACACCUGUAGCAAGAGUUACCGCAGGGAUAGCUGGUGCCAAGUGAGAUGAAGCCUUCACCUGUACCGGUGGGCUAUGCGAUGUUGCCACAGGGAUAACUGCUGCUGCUCAGCUCUGGACUCCUGUCCAGCAACAACCUACCACAGGGAUAACUGACUCUGAACUCAGUGUGUGCCCAUGCACAAGAAGCCAAUGGUGUGAACCUGCAGUGAAAUACCACUACCUUCACCGUCGUUUUGCUCAGUGAGUGGCUGGGAGCUGGUGGCCAUUGGACAUCAACCGCUGCAUUCCUGUGGUGGUUGUGGCCUCAACCCAUUUCGUGUGCCAAGCACAGCUCACCUCGCGUGGCUGUGUGAUCCUGUAGGGUGCUGACCACACCCUGUCCAUAUGCUUGGAGCCUCGGGACAAUGAGCAGCUGGGGAGUUUGGCUGGGGCGGCACGCCUGUUACAUCACAACGCCGGCGUCCUGAAGCAAUGCUCAGAUGGAACAGAAAUCUCCCAUGGAGGAGAAGGCCAAAGGUGCUGCUGAUGUGGUGACUUCCAGUGCAAGUCCAGAACAUGCAAGUGUGGCCUAGCGAUCCUUUGGCCAAGUUCACGGGUUCCUGACAUUGAAGCCAGAGGUGUCAGAAAAAUUACCACAGGGAUAACUGGCUUGUGGCUGCCAAGCGUUCAAAGCGACGUGGCUUUUUGAUCCUUCGAUGUCGGCUCUUCCUAGCUUUGCACCCGCAGCUGAGUCAAAGAGUUGGAUUGUUCACCCACCAACAGGGAAC
rnacentral:rRNA from 1 species